rnacentral:tRNA from 1 species
GGGCCAGUAGCUCAGUAGGUAGAGCAGUUGACUCUUAAUCAAUUGGUCGGGGGUUCGAAUCCUCCCUGGCCCACCA